CGGCUUUAACGGGUAACGGAGGAUUAGGGUUCGAUUCCGGAGAGGGAGCCUGAGAAACGGCUACCACAUCUAAGGAAGGCAGCAGGCGCGUAAAUUACCCAAUCCUGACUCAGGGAGGUAGUGACAAGAAAUAACGGACCGAAGCCUAUGGUUUCGGGAUUGCAAUGAGUAGAAUUUAAACCCCUUUACGAGGAUCAAUUGGAGGGCAAGUCUGGUGCCAGCAGCCGCGGUAAUUCCAGCUCCAAUAGCGUAUAUUAAAGUCGUUGCAGUUAAAAAGCUCGUAGUUGGAUUUCUGAGAGGAUGCCAAUGUCGGCUUCGUUGCCUGUGCAGCGGCGUCCUCUCAUCCUUCUGUUAACGUUUCUUGGUAUUCAGUUACUGGUUUCGGGCUCAGAUAUUUUACCUUGAGAAAAUUAGAGUGUUUCAGGCAGGCUUGCGCCGGAAUACAUUAGCAUGGAAUAAUAGAAUAGGACUUUAGUCUCCUUUGUUGGUUUGAGGGACUGAAGUAAUGAUUAAUAGGGAUAGUUGGGGGCAUUAGUAUUUAAUUGUCAGAGGUGAAAUUCUCGGAUUUGUUAAAGACUAACUUAUGCGAAAGCAUUUGC
rnacentral:rRNA from 1 species